rnacentral:misc_RNA from 1 species
CUAAGGAGUUUUAUUGUUUUUGUUUUCCAGUUGGACGCAUGCCCUGGUUUUUUUCAAGGUUGUGUAUCAUAGCGUGGGUUGUCAUCAUACUGUUGGGUGUCUGGCGCAGCAUGGUUGUUGUGUUGGUGUGUGAGAACUGUAUAGUGGACGCGUGUUUUUUUGUUUUUCUUGUUGUUAGUAUUUUUGUGUU